GCAGGCUGCAACCCGCCCUGCAUGAAGUUGGAAUCGCUAGUAAUCGCGGAUCAGCAUGCCGCGGUGAAUACGUUCCCGGGCCUUGUACACACCGCCCGUCACACCAUGAGAGUCGGGAACACCCGAAGUCCGUAGCCUGACCGCAAGGGGGCGCGGCCGAAGGUGGGUUCGAUAAUUGGGGUGAAGUCGUAACAAGGUAAC
rnacentral:rRNA from 1 species